UUUUAUUUGUGAAAUGAAACUAUAUAUAAAUUUUUUUAAUAUACUUAUAUAAUAUAAUUAUUAAUAUACUUUAAGUACGAUUAAGUGAAAUUAGUCAUUUAACAAUAAUAAAACCUGGAAACAAGCAACUGUUUCCACUAUCAUCUUAUAAAUUACUCACUAAAUUAAUGACAAGUCGCAUCUAUUUCCUUAAUCAGGCGAUAAUCAAAAUUUAGCAUGGGCGCAUUGCUGUGGAGCCUUUUAAUAGCUCAAAGCUGUGUUCUUCUUUUCUUGGCGUCAAGCGUUCACACGAUUUAACUAGCUCUGAAUAAUAAACUGCAAUUGUUAUUCAACAAACCCUUUACUUCAGAACAGUCUCAAAGCUUUGGCUGUUUCAUCAUUCUGCAAUACAGGAUGUGGAAGUCAACACCUCUAAAGUUCAAAUGACUUGAUGGUACUUGGCAGUACAUGACAGCAUAUAUAGAGCAAAUGGUAUCCAAUUUCAUUUGGCUGCAACAAUCAAUGCAGAGACAGAAGGAACAGCAAGUCACAAAAGAUUUUUUCCUUGUCCCAGUAACAACAACAUUAACUUUAUUUUUCGAACCGAGAAUGUGGGAAGCUGUUGGUUGCAAAGAUAGUUUUCAGGGUACCAAGUUCCAAGUUUAGGAGAAACACGCAAGUGACAAAGGAUUUGAUGUUCAUUGUCCCAGCAAUAACCAAACAACCAAUUACUUGGCUUUUGAUAUGAUACAAGAAAGUAAGAAGCUGUUGAUUGUUUGAUCCAGAAUCCAAGUCACAUCUAGCAUGUAUAAUGUUCUUAUGGCACCUUUCGAAAUGUGGAACUUCACUCAUAAAAAAAUUGUGCAGACUGCAUGGAAUUUUCAUUUAUGUUUGUUGUUAGUGUUGAUAACAUACUGACUGAAGGCCAGACUCUUUGGCAAUGCGAUGCAACAGUCUGCUACACACAGUCUGUGGAGAUGGUGUUAUCCUGAAAUGGAGAACCAAGACCUGAAGUGGAUCUGCAAGAAGACUUCUUGAAAUGGUGUCGUCGGAAAAGAGUCUGUGAUUCCUGUGUUAUCCUGGGGUAUGUUGGUAAUCUGACAAAUAUGCUUGUGGCUGCUUGUUUGUGAUUAGUGUCUUGUAUGACGUAGUCCAUAAUGUCGAUAAGUGCAUAUCAGCGCUCUUUUCUUUUCUUUGACCCCGUUUCCCCAACUAACCAACGCCAGUCGGUGAUCACUCACCCGCCGUGACAACGAGUAGAAGAUGUCUCUGGUCGAACGGACGGGUCGAACUGGAAGCUUUGAGGGUUAUGAAUCCAACCCAGAAACCUAUUAUGACUACAUCUUCUCAAAAACCCUUAAAGAAGAAAAUCAAACAUAUAUAAAGCUAAGUCAACAACAGAUGACAAUCAGCCUUCCUAGUUUCUGCAUGCUUUAAUUGGUCAGUUUUCAAUGCUGGUUAUUCAACCCCCAUAAUUACUAUACAGCUGGAUUUUACGUUUUAGAAGAGAUAACAUAUUAGACCAAUAUAAAAGAAUUUCUCAUUAAGGACUAUUUACAUUUAAGUAUCAAAACAAGACUUCAUGAACACGGGUCUCAUGAUAUCCCGCAUAUUGAAUAUUGAUAGUGCGCUGCCUUAUUCGAAUUACCUAGGCGAAUUUUAUGAGAUGAUAUAUAUUUUAAGUUUCAAUAAAAACUAAUUAUUACUUAAAA
rnacentral:lncRNA from 1 species